GUUUGAUCCUGGCUCAGGAUGAACGCUAGCGGCAGGCUUAAUACAUGCAAGUCGAGGGGCAGCACAGGGUAGCAAUACUUGGGUGGCGACCGGCAAACGGGUGCGGAACACGUACAGAACCUUCCUUUGAGCGGGGAAUAGCCCAGAGAAAUUUGGAUUAAUACCCCAUAGUAUAUUUAGAUGGCAUCAUUUGAAUAUUAAAGAUUUAUCACUCGAAGAUGGCUGUGCGUAUGAUUAGGUAGUUGGCGGGGUAACGGCCCACCAAGCCUACGAUCAUUAACUGGUGUGAGAGCACGACCAGUCACACGGGCACUGAGACACGGGCCCGACUCCUACGGGAGGCAGCAGUAAGGAAUAUUGGUCAAUGGACGCAAGUCUGAACCAGCCAUGCCGCGUGGAGGAUGAAGGUCCUCUGGAUUGUAAACUUCUUUUAUCUGGGACGAAAAAAGGGAAUUCUUUCUCGUCUGACGGUACCAGAUGAAUAAGCACCGGCUAACUCCGUGCCAGCAGCCGCGGUAAUACGGAGGGUGCAAGCGUUAUCCGGAUUCACUGGGUUUAAAGGGUGCGUAGGCGGGUAUGUAAGUCCGUGGUGAAAUCUCCGAGCUUAACUCGGAAACUGCCGUGGGUACUGCGUAUCUUGAAUGUUGUGGAGGUGAGCGGAAUAUGUCAUGUAGCGGUGAAAUGCUUAGAUAUGACAUAGAACACCAAUUGCGAAGGCAGCUCACUACACAGAAAUUGACGCUGAGGCACGAAAGCGUGGGGAUCAAACAGGAUUAGAUACCCUGGUAGUCCAUGCCGUAAACGGUGGGCGCUAGGUGUGGGUUUCCUUCCACGGGAUCCGUGCCGUAGCUAACGCAUUAAGCGCCCCGCCUGGGGAGUACGGCCGCAAGGCUAAAACUCAAAGGAAUUGACGGGGGCCCGCACAAGCGGCGGAGCAUGCGGAUUAAUUCGAUGCAACGCGAAGAACCUUACCUGGGCUUGACAUACACCGGAUCGCUGCAGAGAUGUAGCUUCCCUUUGUGGCUGGUGUACAGGUGGUGCAUGGUUGUCGUCAGCUCGUGUCGUGAGAUGUUGGGUUAAGUCCCGCAACGAGCGCAACCCUUGUCUUAUGUUGCCAGCACGUUAUGGUGGGGACUCAGUGGAGACCGCCGGGGUCAACUCGGAGGAAGGUGGGGAUGACGUCAAAUCAUCAUGCCCCUUAUGUCUUGGGCUUCACGCAUGCUACAAUGGCCGGUACAAAGGGCUGCGAUGCCGUAAGGUGGAGCGAAUCCCAAAAAACCGGUCUCAGUUCGGAUUGGGGUCUGCAACUCGACCCCAUGAAGUCGGAGUCGCUAGUAAUCGCAGAUCAGCAACGCUGCGGUGAAUACGUUCCCGGGCCUUGUACACACCGCCCGUCACACCAUGGGAGUUGGUUUUACCCGAAGGCGCUGCGCCAACCCGCAAGGGAAGCAGGCGACCACGGUAGGGUCAGCGACUGGGGUGAAGUCGUAACAAGGUAGCCGUAGGGGAACCUGCGGCUG
rnacentral:rRNA from 1 species